rnacentral:lncRNA from 1 species
GCACAUUUGAUGGCUGCGGAAAAUGCUUUUCACUGGACUUCAACUUGCUGACACAUGUAUGAAUCCAUACAAAGAUGGGCCCUAUGGUUGCCCCUUCCAUGGUUUUCAUAAGAAGUUUGCUCAGUCACCUAACCCUAAAUCUCACGUUUUAGCAUAUGAGAAGGCCAAUCACAACCAGUGAAAGAAGAGACAAGACCUUCUCAACUGCGGGCAGCAUCUUCCAGGAGUGUAAUUGGAAUGAAUAUGCCUCUCCUUUGUAUAUUAUUUCUAGUAAGAAUUUUAAUAAUGAAUCCUACACAUAUAACAGAAUGGUUUUGAUAAUGUGAACAAAUUAAAAGGAAAAAUAAACUUUAAACAGUGUUUUUGUACAGUGUGGUUCCAGCAGGACAAUUCAUGAACUCUGCAUCAGAAGACAGUUCUUUAAACAACAGUGCUAAAUUGGGACUUCUUUUCACAUUCUUCUAAACAUGAAGCUCGGGUUUAUAGCUCAGUUGGU